rnacentral:rRNA from 1 species
AUCUUUAUAAUUUUACUAUCAAAUCCUCUUUCAUUAAUUUUUUCAUAAUUAAAUUCAUAAUAAAUAAAUUUAUUGUAACUCAUUUCUACUUAAACAUAAACUACACCUUGAUCUGAAAUAUAUUAAUAUAAAAAUUUAUGAAAAUUAUUAUUCUUUUAAAAUAUUCUGAUAACGACGGUAUAUAAACUGAUUACUAAUUUAAGUAAGGUCCAUCGUGGAUUAUCGAUUAAAGAACAAGUUCCUCUGAAUAGACUAAAAUACCGCCAAAUUUUUUAAGUUUCAAGAUCAUAACUAUUAC